rnacentral:lncRNA from 1 species
CACGUAGGUGUAGGUAGCCCCGAGAAGACGAGCAGGCCCACUCGCACCGGCCUAGUAAACGGGUGAAUUCAGCCUGGCGGCCUGCUCCAGAAGUUUCCAGCCGCCCAGUGAAAUAAGGAAGGAAGGAAACAGGACUUACGGGCCCAUCAUCGGCCUCCCACGUGCUCGAGAUGGGCCAUAAAGUAUAACCUCGGCUCAGCCCGUCGGCAUAAUGCUGUUCUAAACCCUGCCGAAAAUACACGACCUGCGUUGCAAGAAUCCAGAAUCCAGAUCGUGCUAGACUGCAAGUAUAGUAUUUCCAGUUUUUUUUGAAAAAAAAGUAUAGUAUUUCCUGCUCCACCAGAUAAUUCAAAAAUUAAAAAAAAAAUGCUCCGCCGGAACCGACCCGAUCCAAUCGCUAACAAAGGUAGAGAAAGGCCGCAUACUCUCCCCACUUACGUUCUGCUGCAAAAGCUUCUGCUACCCAUCUUGCUCUGGGAUUUUCUUUCAUUGAGCCUCUUUGAUUAAUUCGCAAAUUUAUUAUAUAAAGAAAAAUAUUAUUAAAUAUAUGAUAGAUUUAAUAAAUGAGUUUAAGCAAAUAGAGUUUUUGUGCUGCGAAACUAGAGGGGCUAGCAGGGGCAGUACCCUCCAAGCACAG